UACGUAGGGUGCAAGCGUUAAUCGGAAUUACUGGGCGUAAAGCGUGCGCAGGCGGUUGUGUAAGACAGAUGUGAAAUCCCCGGGCUCAACCUGGGAACUGCAUCCGGGACUGCAUUGCUAGAGUAUGGGAGAGGAAGCGGAAUUUCUGGUGUAGCAGUGAAAUGCGUAGAUAUCAGAAGGAACAUCAGUGGCGAAGGCGGCUUCCUGGACCAAUACUGACGAUCAGGUGCGAAAGCGUGGGGAGCAAACAGG
rnacentral:rRNA from 1 species